GCCGGGCCCGGCCCGCCGCCGCCUGCCCGCAAUGAGGGGUCCGCGGCACCCACCGGAAAACUGCAUUUCUGUUUUUUUUCCUUCCGUGUCUGGGACAGCCCUGGAGACAGUAAAUGUCUGUGGGCGAUGGUCCACAGGUGAAACCUCUGCCCUGCUGGAGAAUGUGACAGUGAUCCAUGUAGUUUCUAAUCAGUUGAAGUCCCUUGUCACUCAAGUCAAGCUACGCCACAAUGCACCAACAGCAAAUGAUGCCUGAGGAGACAUUAUGAACCUGCCUGUGGAAAGAGCCUGUGCACGUCUCGGGGAGUAUCUCUUCUUCUGGGAUCUCUCCAGCACUGCUGUGCCAAGCUACAGCUCAUAUUUGUAGGUGCCAGUACACUAAAUAAGGCCAGUUCAUGGGAGAAAAGCAGAUUUAGUCUAAUUUCUCUUCACCAGACAUCUAUCUGAAAUAAAGUGUUCUUGACGGUAGAUGAGGGUGUGUGAGCACACCCCGUUAAGGAUAGGGUGGAACCAGGAUGUUGCCUGCCUGAGAAUGUGAAGCAGCCGCUUGGCAAAGCACACAACCCCUGGAGACAUGCCCAGAAAACUGGAGCACCCCACAAAAGAAAUAAAGCAAACAAAUAAAAAAAUGCAAGCAGAA